UACACGCUGUGACUAGCAUAUCAAUAAGCGGAGGAAAAGAAACUAACAAGGAUUCCCCUAGUAACGGCGAGUGAAGCGGGAAGAGCUCAAAUUUGAAAUCUUAAAGGGUUUCCCUUUACGAAUUGUAGUUUAAAGAAGUGUUUUCUGUUGAGGUUUUGGUAAAAGUUCUUUGGAAUAGGACAUCAUAGAGGGUGAGAAUCCCGUAUUUGACCUUUACUUUCAACUUUGUGAUACACUUUCAAAGAGUCGGAUUGUUUGGGAAUGCAGUCCAAAAUGGGUGGUAAAUUUCAUCUAAAGCUAAAUAUUGGCGAGAGACCGAUAGCGAACAAGUACCGUGAGGGAAAGAUGAAAAGAACUUUGAAAAGAGAGUUAAACAGUACGUGAAAUUGUCAAAAGGGAAGCGUUUGACACCAGUGUUGUUUUUCUGAAAAUCAAUUAAAGAACUGUUUAUGCUAAGCUGUUUAGACUUUAUCAGCUAUCUGUUUAGUUUUGAGCUUUUCUUUAAUGCACUUUUCAGUUAACAAGUCAACAUCAAUUUCUUUUGCUGUAAAAAAGCUUGAGGAAGGUGGCUUGAGAUUCGUCUUAAGUGUUUAUAGCCUCUUGCCUAUGCAGUCGGAGAGAUUGAGGUCUGCAGCGUAGAUCCUUCGGGGCUAAAUGCAUUUGUGCUAAGUUAUAGCAUUUUAUAGACAACUUGUUGACUAUGAUUUGUCUUGUAGCUUACUCGCUUAUGUUAUUUUACCUACGCUUAGGAUGUUGACGAGACUGUCGAUCUCAUCUAUACAUGACUCUGCGCAUAUCAAUAAGCGGAGGAAAAGUACUACCUACGCUUAGGGUGUUGACACACGCGCGUGCUCGGCUCUAUACAUGACUCUGCGCAUAUCAAUAAGCGGAGGAAAAGGUACCUACGCUUAGGAUGUUGACGAGACUGUCGAUCUCAUCUAUACAUGACUCUGAUGCAUAUCAAUAAGCGGAGGAAAAGAGUAAUACCUACGCUUAGGAUGUUGAAGAUGUAGCACAUCAU
rnacentral:rRNA from 1 species